AAAAUGCAAAAAGAUGCUGCCUAAGCAGGUGUUAGCAUAUACAACCACAAAUGUUCCAUAUUAUUUUUCGAUUUGUUUGAGCAAUUACUAGUCAACUCAUACAAUAAUCAAAAAGUAAAUACCACUAAAACCAACCUAUGAUGCAAUAUUACUUUUCAGUCGAAUGCUCUGUAGAUUAACUAUAAAUCGCACUAUGUUAUUAUAAGAUCCAUAACAAGCCAUUUACUAGCACCAAAAUUGGCAUUGGAUCAACAGCUGACAGUGUACUGACCACCGACAUCCUCCCUCUGAAAAUUAAAUCAUCUCUUGAACUCAUUUAAACUCGAAGGUAGGUGGUAUAGGAGCAUCAAAGCUCUCUAAAACCUGUGUCUUGCUACCACCACCUAUCACCGUCUCCUCCUUCUUUCCACCACCAAAAAUUCCUCCAAACCAGGAAGAAGAGGAUGGUGCUGAUGAUUCUGCCAUCAUACCAUCAAUACUUCCUGGAGCUUGACCAGGAAGCUGCCCCAUUGGUUGACCAGGCAGCUGCCCAGAUGGAUAUCCAGGCACUCCAGCGACAUUAGGUAGUGGCUCCUCCAUGGGUGGGAAGUUCUGUGGAGCACUCAUGACUUUAUUUAACAUAAUUCCAGCU
rnacentral:misc_RNA from 1 species